GCGGCAAAUGUAUCAUUGGUGAUGAUGAUUUCUGUAGUAGUGUAGGCUCUUUAUCAUCAGUUGAGUGAGCUCUCCAAAUCCAUGUUUUAUGAAAGAUAAACAUGUCAUCCAUGCGGCAUGCAAUCUACUUUGAUGCAUCUAUGGCCAUUCCUAAUGUCUAUAUCAAUGAUAAGGAUGACAAUAAGACUGUGUACAAGUCAAACCAUGUAUAUCCCAGUGGCUAGCUAAAGACCUGCAUGUUCCUAGCUACUUGCCAUCACCCACUCUAGGCA
rnacentral:lncRNA from 1 species